CAGAGUUGCAAAACUCCCACAAACCAUCGCGAAUCUUACCCGUACGGUUGCCUCGGCGCUGGCGGUCCGGAAAGGCCUUCGGGCCUCCCGGACCCUCGGGUCUCCCGCUCGCCGGGAGGCUGCCCGCCGGAGUGCCGAAACUACAAACUCUUGAUAUUUACUGUCUCUCUGAGUAAAACUUUUAAAUAAGUCA
rnacentral:misc_RNA from 1 species